GGAAUGCUGCUGGUCGGGUGGUGGGAUCCCAGAGACCUGCCCCCACCAGCUUGAUUCAUUCACAUGCUGCUUGGAGUGGAAGGAUCUCCCAGCAAAGAAUGCAGAAAGGGUCUGGUUUCAGAGUGGCUGAAUGCUCUCCAUGGGGUCAGUCUCUG